GAUGAACGCUAGCUACAGGCUUAACACAUGCAAGUCGAGGGGAAACGAUGAGAGAGCUUGCUCUUUUAGGCGUCGACCGGCGCACGGUUGAGUAACGCGUAUCUAAUCUACCCAUUACAGGUGGAUAACCUUGCGAUAGUAACACUAAUACCCCAUGGCAUUUUAUGGUGGCAUCAUUAUAGUAUUAAUGUUUUAUUGGUAUUGGUUGGGGUUGCGUCUGAUUAGCUUGUUGGCGUGGUAACGGCCCGCCAAGGCAACGAUCAGUAGGUGUUCUGAGAGGAAGGUACACCAGAAUGGAGCUGAGACACGGUCCAAAAUGGGACGGGAGGCAGGAGUGAAGAAUACUAGUCGAGGAACGAGGACUUAAACAAGCCAAGUGGCGUGAAGGAGGAUGGGGAUAGGGGUUGUAAACUGCUUUUAUGGGAGGGUAAAGUGUGCUACGUGUAGUUUAUUGAAGGUACCAUAUGAAUAAGGACCGGCUAAUUUCGUG
rnacentral:rRNA from 1 species